rnacentral:rRNA from 1 species
GUGAGGAAUAUUGGUCAAUGGACGAGAGUCUGAACCAGCCAAGUAGCGUGAAGGAUGACUGCCCUAUGGGUUGUAAACUUCUUUUAUAAGGGAAUAAAGUGAGGGACGUGUCCCUUUUUGUAUGUACCUUAUGAAUAAGGAUCGGCUAACUCCGUGCCAGCAGCCGCGGUAAUACGGAGGAUCCAAGCGUUAUCCGGAUUUAUUGGGUUUAAAGGGAGCGUAGGUUGACAUAUAAGUCAGCUGUGAAAGUUUACGGCUCAACCGUGAAAUUGCAGUUGAUACUGUAUGUCUUGAGUGUACAAGAGGUGGGCGGAAUUCGUGGUGUAGCGGUGAAAUGCUUAGAUAUCACGAAGAACUCCAAUUGCGAAGGCAGCUCACUGGGGUACAACUGACACUGAGGCUCGAAAGUGUGGGUAUCAAACAGGAUUAGAAACCCGUGUAGUCC